GACGAAGGGGGCUAGCGUUGUUCGGAAUUACUGGGCGUAAAGCGCGUGUAGGCGGUUGCCCAAGUCGGGUGUGAAAGCCUUGAGCUCAACUCAAGAAAUGCACUCGGUACUGGGUGACUAGAGGACCGGAGAGGAUAGUGGAAUUCCCAGUGUAGUGGUGAAAUACGUAGAGAUUGGGAAGAACACCAGUGGCGAAGGCGGCUAUCUGGACGGUACUGACGCUGAGACGCGAAAGCGUGGGGAGCGAACAGG
rnacentral:rRNA from 1 species